rnacentral:rRNA from 1 species
AUGGCUGACCGUCACCUUGGGCGUGCCGUAGCCUACGCCAAUCCUGGUGACCAGCGUUGGGCGGUGGUGGAUGACGAGAUGUGGAGGCCAGACCAACCCUUGUCAUGUCGAUUCUCGUCGGCCUCAACCAUGCGGGGGUGCUUCUACUUUGCAACUGUCGAGGGGUACAUAAUACAGGUAAGGCUCUGCCCAGAGCCUCGUCUGGUGCCCGUGGUUGUGGACCAGCCCAACACCCAGUACAACAUGUUCUGCUACCUCGUCCCUCCGGAUGACCACCGCUGCGGUGGCAUGCUCAUGGUGCGCUACUACCUCAACCUUGAUCACCUCAGCGCCGACGAGCAAAGAAUCAUGAAACGCAGGAGGAAGGUCAUGGACGUGAUCAGGGUGGAGCACCAUGUGAAGGCGCAACGGUGGAACCUGAUUCAGUUGUUUGAGGUGGAUGUGGCCGGGAAGAGACUUGUUCCGGUGGAGGACAUUGGCCGCCACCGCGCCGUGUUUGUCGGGGAUGUGGCGUGCUUCUCCCUCUCGGCCAGGAGGUUUCCAUGCGUGGCAGGGAACGCCGUGUACAUGGGGGCGCGCGGUGCCCGCUGCCCUCCCGUCGGCGUGCGGUAUCUGGCAGACAAGACUGCUGAUCCGUCGUUUGUGUUCACCACAGAUGUGCCAGGAUUUCUAGAAUGUAAAGCAAUGAAACAGUACCGCGAGAAGAUACCGGAGCUGAAUCUAGUGCCUCUUGCUCGCCCUUGUACGCUCCAAGAGUACCUCGUCUGUUGCGCAGGCCUCCUCGGCGGCCUCAAAGACUAA